rnacentral:rRNA from 1 species
AGGCCUAAUACAUGCAAGUCGUGGGGCAGCGGGUGUAGCAAUACAUGCCGGCGACCGGCGCACGGGUGCGUAACACGUAUGCAAUCUACCUUCAGCUGGGGAAUAAUUCGCCGAAAGGCGGACUAAUUCCGCAUAAUACUGCGAGAGGACAUCCCCUUGCAGUCAAACCUCCGGGGGCCGAAGAUGAGCAUGCGUCCGAUUAGAUAGUUGGCGGGGUAACGGCCCACCAAGUCAACGAUCGGUAGGGGGUCUGAGAGGACGAUCCCCCACACUGGUACUGAGACACGGACCAG